AACGAACGCUGGCGGCAUGCCUAACACAUGCAAGUCGAACGAGACCUUCGGGUCUAGUGGCGCACGGGUGCGUAACGCGUGGGAACCUGCCUUUAGGUUCGGAAUAACUCAGAGAAAUUUGAGCUAAUACCGGAUGAUGUCUUCGGACCAAAGAUUUAUCGCCUUUAGAUGGGCCCGCGUUGGAUUAGCUAGUUGGUGGGGUAAAGGCUUACCAAGGCGACGAUCCAUAGCUGGUCUGAGAGGAUGAUCAGCCACACUGGGACUGAGACACGGCCCAGACUCCUACGGGAAGCAGCAGUGGGGAAUAUUGGACAAUGGGCGAAAGCCUGAUCCAGCAAUGCCGCGUGAGUGAUGAAGGCCUUAGGGUUGUAAAGCUCUUUUACCCGAGAUGAUAAUGACAGUAUCGGGAGAAUAAGCUCCGGCUAACUCCGUG
rnacentral:rRNA from 1 species